AGAAGUGGCCAAACCUCUUUGUCAAAGCCUGAUCUCGUCAGAUCUCAGAAGCUAAGCAGGGCUGGUCCUGGUUAGUACUUGGGUUGGAGACCACUGAGAAUAACCGGUGCCACAGUGG
rnacentral:rRNA from 1 species